rnacentral:rRNA from 1 species
AACGAACGCUGGCGGCAGGCUUAACACAUGCAAGUCGAGUGCCCCGCAAGGGGAGCGGCAGACGGGUGAGUAACACGUGGGAACGUGCCCUUCAGUUCGGAAUAACCCAGGGAAACUUGGGCUAAUACCGGAUACGCCCUUACGGGGAAAGAUUUAUCGCUGAAGGAUCGGCCCGCGUCUGAUUAGCUAGUUGGUGAGGUAAAGGCUCACCAAGGCGACGAUCAGUAGCUGGUCUGAGAGGAUGAUCAGCCACACUGGGACUGAGACACGGCCCAGACUCCUACGGGAGGCAGCAGUGGGGAAUAUUGGACAAUGGGCGCAAGCUUGAUCCAGCCAUGCCGCGUGAGUGAUGAAGGCCUUAGGGUUGUAAAGCUCUUUCGGCGGGGACGAUAAUGACGGUACCCGCAGAAGAAGCCCCGGCUAACUUCGUGCCAGCAGCCGCGGUAACAC